UGCGUAGGCGGAAAUUUAAGUCAGUGGUGAAAUCCCGUGGCUCAACCAUGGAACUGCCAUUGAUACUGAAUUUCUUGAAUGCAGAUGAGGUAGGCGGAAUGUGUAAUGUAGCGGUGAAAUGCUUAGAUAUUACACAGAACACCGAUUGCGAAGGCAGCUUGCUAAACUGUGAUUGACGCUGAUGCACGAAAGCGUGGGGAGCGAACA
rnacentral:rRNA from 1 species